CCAGCAUAUUUUGGAAGAGUAUGGAGUAUUACUUCCUGUUGGAACUGGUGUAUGUUAUGAAUGCUACUUAAAGUUGCCUAAGCAGGACUGUAUGAAUGAAGAAAAUCUUCAAAGUUUCUCACAAGAAUUAUCUGUAGCAGAAUCUACAGAAGAUGAUGGCC